GACGAACGCUGGCGGCGUGCCUAAUACAUGCAAGUCGAACGCAGUGGGGACGGGUGAGUAACACCUUGGUAACCUGCCCAUCAGAGGGGAUAACACUUGGAAACAGGUGCUAAACCGAUACUGAUGGAUGGACCCGCGGUGCAUUAGCUAGUGGGUGGGGUAACGGCUCACCAAGGCCAGGAUGCAUAGCCGACCUGGGAGGGGGAUCGGCCACACUGGGACGGAGACACGGCCCAGACUCCUACGGGAGGCAGCAGUAGGGAAUCUUCGGAAAUGGACGAAGGCUUGACGGAGCAAGGCGGCGUGAGUGAAGAAGGUUUUCGGAUCGUAAGACUUGGUUGUUAGAGAAGCGGUAUCUAACCAGAAAGCCACGGCUAACUACGUGCCAGCCGCCGCGGUAAUUC
rnacentral:rRNA from 1 species